CCCCAGGGUGCUCCAGCAUCCCCCCGGGCGCCCCGGGGCUGGCUGCUGUGUGAUUUCCAUCCUAACCCUAUAUCCCGGGAGCGCCUGGGAGGGGGAGACGUGAUGGGAGAGGAGGGACCCCCCCAUUUAGGCCGCCUGCGAGCUUCGUGUCACUGUGCCCCCCUGUGUGCUGCGGGUGUGCAGUGUGCUCCUGUACACACCAGUACACGUGUGCUCACUGUGCUCCUGCACACACCAGUACACGUGUGCUCACUGUGUGCAUGCUCCUCGUGUGCUUGCGUGCACUCAGUACAUGCUUCAUGCAAGCUCUUUCACGUGCUCUGUGUGCCCCCCAUGCGAUGCUGCACGUGUGCUCUCCUCAUGUACUCCAUGUGUGUCCCCUUCAUGUAUGUGGUCUUGUCACGCUCCCUGCGUGCUGUGUGUGCUUCCUGUGAGCAUGGCAUGCACACUGUCCCCACAUGCUCUCUCCAUGUGCUCUGUGCACACUCAUGCUCUCUGCAUGCUCCAUGCACGCUUUCUCCAUGUUGUCCAUGUGCAUACCCUCCACAUGGUCCAUGCAGUCUUGGCUGCAAGCUCUGUGCAUGUUCUCUCUGUGUGCUCCUCAUGCUCUCUCUUGCAUGCUUUGUGCAUGCUUACUGGAUAUGUGCUCUCUCUGCACACCUCUGGCACCCUUUGUGCUCUCUGCACACUAUGGGCAAGGUCUUUCCCCAUGCCCUGUGCGUGUUCUUACAUGCUUAUUGCAUGCUUUGACUGCACACUCCAUGCAUGCUCUCUCCACACACCUCAUGCACACUUGGUGCAUGGCAUUGCUGCACACACUGUGCACACUGUCCCUGAUGCACAAAUGCUCUCUUGCAUGCUCCACGCAUGCUCUCUCCGUGCCGUGUGUGGAGGGUGUUUCUGCAUGCUCUAUACAUGUUCUUGUGCAUGCUCCAUACAUGUUCUUGUUCACGCUCCAUACGUGCCCUCCUGCAUGUUCCAUGCAUGCUCCAUACGUGCCUCUGUACAUGCC
rnacentral:lncRNA from 14 species